CUUGAUUCCCGUUUUCAUUUUUCAUUCAACCUUUACUUUCCUUUUGAAAUAGUUUCCUUUCAGCGUUACUACUAACAAAUCGUAUCUUAAAGACAUAGUUUAGGCAGAAUGCCUUAUAUGUUGACGACUUUCAUUUUUUAUCUUGCCUUAAUUCUGUCGUAUUAUCAAUCAAAAGUCUUCCUGCGUAUAUAUAAAAUAGUAUCUGCAUCAUAUUUGUUUCCGAUACUGUCCUGCUUUUUCGUUUUAUAUAGAAAACACUGAUUUAAUUAGUUUGAUAAGUGCCUCUGCACGAAACUCUCAAACCUUCAGUCACUAUGUAACUUUCACCGAUCAAUAAAUCUAUACUUAUUUGAGUCUGACUCA